CAUCCCCCUCAUUUUCACUUCAGCUCUCUCUCUCUACCCGAGAGCUUCUCUCUCCUCAUCCUCGCCGGAAAUCGCCGCCGCCGCACCGCCGCCGUCGCCGGAAUCCGGAUUUCAACCAAAAUUUCCAGAUUUUCUUCUCUUCCUUCCCUCUUUCCUUUUCUCCAACCAAAAUCAAGAAAUUUAGCCAUUUAAUCCCCCAAAAACCCUAGAACCCGAAGCUAAAAUUGGGGCUUUUGUGAUUUCUUCUUUCCAAGCUCAAAUCAAGGCUAUGGGUUUGGCAAGGAUUUUUGGUGAAGAAGGCCAAGGAGAAGGUAUAUGACGUGAUUUUUGAAGGAGAAAGGGAAACACGAUCGUUAAGGAAGCUUAAGCGGAAAGCAUCAGAGUGUGGAGUACGCCAACAUUUUCCAGGUAGGGUGAGCUGUCCCUUCCUUGUUAGAGGCUUUUCGAUAUAUGUGGAAUGCUCUAGUAUAAUAUUAUGUUGCCUGCAAGUACGUUUUUGGUUGUUCAUUAGUCGAUGCCUCGUGAUACAUGUGUUUUCAAAACUGAUAAUUGUUGAUUGUGAAAACCGAGGCUAGACUUGCAUGUUGAGAUACUGUACCUUUUGUAUGUUGUGUUUGUGACCUGAAAGUGAAUGGGACCUAGACGCGUAGAUUCCUAGGGAUCCCACGGUGUCGAUAACCGUGAACCUCCGGAGGGGGCUGUGCUCCUAUGUUUGUCGGGGAAAGGUAAGUACAGACAGUGAACCAGUCAUAGGAGACUCAGAGCCAGGAAAUGGACACUUUCGCUACUUGUAGUCACAAGGACUACAGAGUAGUUGGCUGGUUCUCUUACUCAGGACGAACCAGAUCGGUCACUGAUUUAUUUUACUUUAGCCGGCAGGUAAGUAUCUCGGAGCUCCAAAUUGUGUGAAGCAUGCUGCAUAUGAUUUCCUGAAACGAAACAACUGUGAUUGUUUUUGUUUGCAUUUGUUUUACUUGAUUUUACAAAUGCGCGCAACCUAUAUUCUAGUAGCUAUGUUUUACCUAUUAGAUUUCAAACCUAACUAAGGUUGGGUCGGCCCCUAUUGGGCUAGCGAGGACGAAAUGCUCACCCCUACAUUUCAGGUUACCACGAGGUCAUUCCGGACGAUUUGGAUUAGAGGUGGGUCGUUGGCCGAGUCCAUGUGUUGCUGUUCCUGUUGCUUGAAGUUCUUCCCAUUUGGUACUCUAUCGAUUUACUAGCUUCUCUUUCUAUGUUGAACUCUGUGAGGUCCGCCUACCUGGGAGCGCGCCUCACCCCUUUGUUUUACUGUUAUUGUUGAACUCCUUUCAUUUUGGUUAUGAUGUAAGCCCUAAGGCAUCACAGUGCACUUGCCACUUUAUUUUGUUGCUUUCCAGACUUGUUAUUUUAAAUGUUGGGUUGUUGAUUUAAAGUCCUUUCUUAAAA